UCGGUCACGACUGGGUUCUGCGGGGCGCA
rnacentral:sRNA from 1 species